rnacentral:ncRNA from 2 species
UUGAUGGGUAGAGGCUGCAAAACUUAUAAGUACGAUGUGCGAGUGUGACAACGUUGAACACAUCUAAAAGGAAGUUUUGCCGAAGUUCUUUUUUUGCUGUCACUGAAAAAAGAGCUGGGGGUAUUCUGAACAAGAAUGCCACUGUCGUUUAUGUUUUAACAUAAGCGAAGAGCUACAGGGUUG